rnacentral:rRNA from 1 species
CGUCUUUUGUUUACACCCAUAAAAGAUAAUGCCUGCCCAGUGAAUUUUUAAACGGCCGCGUUAGCGUGAGCGUGCUAAGGUAGCGUAAUAAUUAGCCUCUUAAUUGGAGGCCAGUGAAAGGCAACACCAGGAAUACCUAUACUUUGUACGAAAAAAAACUUUUUCUCUAAGUGAAAAAUCUUAGAUAAUAAUGGAAGACGAAAAGACCCCGCGGAACUUUACCUUCUCUUUAGACUUUACACCCAUAAAUAAUCAAUAAGGUUUGAUUGGGGCAAUCUCGGAACCAUCUAAACUUCCGACUUUCUCACAAAGAAUUAAAAACUUGCUUUGGACUAAAAAGAAGUUACCCCGGGGAUAACAGCGUUAUCCAACUUGAGAGUACACAUCGAAAGUUGGGUUUGCGACCUCGAUGUUGGCUUAAGGACAUCCACAUUAGUGCAGCCGCUAUGAGUGGAUAGUCUGUUCGACUAUUAUAACCUU